rnacentral:rRNA from 1 species
UACGUAGGGGGCGAGCGUUGUCCGGAUUUAUUGGGCGUAAAGAGCUCGUAGGCGGUUUGGUAAGUCGGGUGUGAAAUCUCCACGCUCAACGUGGAGGGGCCACUCGAUACUGCCAUGACUCGAGUCCGGUAGAGGAGUGUGGAAUUCCUGGUGUAGCGGUGAAAUGCGCAGAUAUCAGGAGGAACACCAAUUGCGAAGGCAGCUCGCUGGGACGUCACUGACGCUGAGACGCGAAAGCGUGGGGAGCAAACAGG